UAGAUAAACGCAGGAGUAUUUUAUACUUUUGAGGAAAGUCCAUGCUCGCACAAUCUGAGAUGAUUGUAGUGUUUGUGUCUUAGGAAAAAAUAACUAAGAGUAGAUUUAUUCUAACGGCGAUGAUGUAUCCUACUGGGAUACUAGUCAUAAAGUGCCACAGUGACGAUUAACUAGCAAUAGUAAAAUGAAACGAGGUAAACCCCGCAAGCGAGAAACCCAAAUAUUGGUAGGGGAGUUCUAUCAAGAGAAUCAAAUCAAGAUAGGAACUAAUUAAUAAUUAGUAGAUAAAUGUUUAUCACCAUAAAUAUGGUACAGAACAUGGCUUAUU
rnacentral:RNase_P_RNA from 1 species